CCUACGGGAGGCAGCAGUGAGGAAUAUUGGACAAUGGAUGGAAAUCUGAUCCAGCCAUGCCGCGUGCAGGAAGACUGCCCUAUGGGUUGUAAACUGCUUUUGUAUGGGAGCAAUAAGCCCUUCGUGAAGGGUGAUGAGAGUACCAUACGAAUAAGCAUCGGCUAACUCCGUGCCAGCAGCCGCGGUAAUACGGAGGAUGCAAGCGUUAUCCGGAUUUAUUGGGUUUAAAGGGUGCGUAGGCGGUUGGAUAAGUCAGCGGUGAAAGUUUUCUGCUUAACAGGAAAAAUGCCGUUGAUACUGUCUGGCUAGAAUAUGGUGGCUGUGAGUGGAAUGUGUGGUGUAGCGGUGAAAUGCUUAGAUAUCACACAGAAUAUCGAUUGCGAAGGCAGCUCACAAAGCCAUUAUUGACGCUGAGGCACGAAAGUGUGGGGAUCAAACAGGAUUAGAUACCCUGGUAGUCCACACUGUAAACGAUGAUAACUCGCUGUCGGCGAUACACAGUCGGUGGCCAAGCGAAAGCGAUAAGUUAUCCACCUGGGGAGUACGACCGCAAGGUUGAAACUCAAAGGAAUUGACGG
rnacentral:rRNA from 1 species